AAUCUUUGAUCAGCUCUUGUACUAGUUCUGAACUGGAAACAAGAUUUACACACUAGUGUCUUGUGCGCAGCUUUUGACAGAUUUGGUGAACCUGUCGACAGAUGUGGUCCUAUUGAAGUAGUAGUAGUAAAUUAGUUUCAGUGAAUCACUUUUUUGCCAUAAGCUUUGUUCAUUCAGUUGUUAAUUUCUAUAUCUGCUGAUGAUAUCAGGAAUAUUAAUUCUUGGUUGUGGGAGGCAUAUCCAGCCAGUAAGUCCUGACCUUCGGCAAUUUAUUCGGUCUAUGGGCAUGAAUCUUGAAGCAAUUGAUUCGAGAAAUGCUGCAUCAACAUAUAAUAUUUUGAAUGAAGAAGGAAUGAUUGUGGCUGCUGCGCUUCUUCCUUAUGGGGUGGAGGAGUAGGACAAUCAAAUGGUGAUAAGAAAUCGUGGAAAGUUGGGCCACAUAGAUCUACUAAUUGCUCUGUUAUGCUUGGCAAAGUGAAGGAUAUUAAGGCGUCUUCGGCUGAAAUACUCUCUGAACUCCUUGUUACUGCUCUUGAUUGUUUGCAUCCCAAAGAAGACAACUUUCUGGUUCAAUCAACAGGUUUUUAUGCAAUUUCAGGAGAUUUUCAUUUUUAGACAUUGAGAUAGCUAAUAAGCAUAUUGGUGAUGAAGUUGAAGUUAAGGUGGAUGGAAUGACUAAAUCUUCAAAUUAUGACUCAGAAGGAACAAAUGGAAAGGAUUCAGUUGAACACAAUUCAUCCAGUGCCAAGCCUAAGAAGAGACGUACAAAGAAGGAAGAUGAACUGACUGCCAGAAAGAGCCGUUGCCUUCCAUUUUGUUCACUACUGACGUUCACACCUCAAUGAAUGCAUUGGUCUCACUUACAUCCCCUCAAGUUUCAUUCUUCUUGAAUUCCCUCCUUUUUCUUCACAUCAGAUUAGCUUUCUAACCCAAGAUAAUGAGGGCAUUUGUGGUAUACACUUGUUUCUCUCUCCAGCUACUGAUUUUUUAUUGUUUUCAUUUUUAAAUUGGGUCUA